rnacentral:lncRNA from 1 species
AUGAGGUCUCAAAUGACUGUAGCCCAGUCUUCUUCCAGAAAAAAAUGGUCAUCACCUGCAAAGCUUUCCCAGAGAGAUGGGAUGAGAAGGAAAUACUUCUCUUCAGAGGGGAGCCUGAUCACCGUACAGUAUUGUGUGGCACCAUACAGCAGCACCUGCAGCGUGCCUUUGGUCAGCGUGGCAGACCCUGCACCCUACGGAGCAACUCCCUCCAACCUCCAGGAGCUGCUGAUCAUCAGGUCCUGCUCGUGGGAGAGGUCCCAGUGGCCAAAGGGAGCACGGGAAAGCCUAAAGAAAAAGCCCAUCAUAGCCAAACUUGUGGACUUUUGA